rnacentral:rRNA from 1 species
GACGAACGCUGGCGGCGUGCUUAACACAUGCAAGUCGAACGGAAAGGCCCUGCUUGCAGGGUACUCGAGUGGCGAACGGGUGAGUAACACGUGGGUGAUCUGCCCUGCACUUCGGGAUAAGCCUGGGAAACUGGGUCUAAUACCGGAUAGGAGCCAUUUUUAGUGUGAUGGUUGGAAAGUUUUUUCGGUGUAGGAUGAGCUCGCUGCCUAUCAGCUUGUUGGUGGGGUAAUGGCCUACCAAGGCGGCGACGGGUAGCCGGCCUGAGAGGGUGGACGGCCACAAUGGGACUGAGAUACGGCCCAGACUCCUACGGGAGGCAGCAGGGGGGAAUAUUGCACAAUGGGCGCAAGCCGGAUGCAGCGACGCCGCGUGGGGGAUGACGGCCUUCGGGUUGUAAACUCCUUUCGCUAGGGACGAAGCUUUUUGUGACGGUACCUAGAUAAGAAGCACCGGCUAACUACGUG